UUUCUUUGGAGAGUUUGAUCCUGGCUCAGGACGAACGCUGGCGGCGUGCCUAAUACAUGCAAGUCGAGCGGGC
rnacentral:rRNA from 1 species